UUAGGUUAAGUUAAAAAGGGCCCACGGUGGAUGCCUGGGCACUAGGGGCGGAGGAAGGACGGGACGCACACCGAUAGGCUUGGGGGAGCGGUAAGUAAGCUUUGAUCCGGAGAUUU
rnacentral:rRNA from 1 species